AGUGAGAGAUGUGCGACUCUUCCUUUCACUGGAACAUUUAGAAGCCAUUGCAGGGGUAUUAAUUGUCCUAAGUUCAAUAUUGUUGUGUCUCAGAGAACAGGGAGACCAGAUGAGGAGAGAGACGGGGGAGCAGCUGGUAAGGGAAGCAGUCAACACACAUUUAUUGAUUAAGUUCACUGUCUUACAUGGGCAUGGUUUGUGGUGCCCCAGAACAAUAACAACAUCAAAGAUCACUGAUCACAGAUCACCAUGACAAGAAUAAUAAUAAUGAAGAAGUUUGAAAUAUUAUAAGAAUUACCAAAGUGUGACACUGAGACACAGAGUCACCAAAUGUUGCUGGAAAAAUGGUACUAUAGAUUUGGGGG